rnacentral:tRNA from 1 species
GCCUGGGUGGCUCAGUCGGUUAAGCGUCUGACUUCGGCCAUGAUCUCACAGUUCGUGGGUUCAAGCCCCACAUCGGGCC